rnacentral:rRNA from 1 species
CCAGCAGCCGCGGUAAUACGAAGGGGGCUAGCGUUGCUCGGAAUCACUGGGCGUAAAGCGCACGUAGGCGGCUUUUUAAGUCAGGGGUGAAAUCCCGGAGCUCAACUCCAGAACUGCCCUUGAUACUGUCUGUCUUGAGGGAGAUAGGGGCAUGUGGAACUUCCGGUGGAGCGGUGAAAUGCGUAGAUAUCAGGAGGAACACCAGUGGCGAAGGCGGCGCUCUGGGCCGGAACUGACGCUGAGGAGCGAAAGCGUGGGGAGCAAACAGGAUUAGAUACCCUGG